ACCAAAGAAGACCACGAGACACCUAGCAGUGCAGAGCUGGUGGCCGAUGACCCCAACGACCCAUAUGAGGAACAUGGGUUGAUACUGCCAAAUGGAGAAAUUAACUGGAACUGCCCGUGCCUGGGGGGCAUGGCCAGCGGCCCCUGUGGGGAACAGUUUAAGUCAGCCUUUUCCUGCUUCCACUAUAGCACAGAGGACAUCAAGGGAUCGGACUGUGUAGACCAGUUUCGGGCCAUGAAGGAAUGCAUGCAGAAAUACCCAGACCUAUAUCCCCAAGAGGAUGAAGAAGAGGAGGCAGAAGAGAAGCCAUCAGAACAUGCAGAGGAAAUGGCUCCCACUGGAGCCACUGCCACCAAAGAAGAGUCAGCGUCCAUUUAAUGCAGGUCACUGUGCUGCCUUCUGUCCUCCCAUUCCAAAGUCACAUGGACCUUUUGUAAAAUGCCUUUUCAUUUCAUUGUUCUCCAAGAAAUGUCUUUCCCUGUGUUAGUCUGUGCACUGUAAUGUAUAAAAUAAUUUAUUUUGAU